rnacentral:rRNA from 1 species
UACGUAGGUGACCAGCGUUGUCCGGAUUUACUGGGCGUAAAGAGCGCGCAGGCGGUCGUUCAAGUCGAGUGUGAAAGCCCCCGGCUCAACUGGGGAGGGUCACUCGAUACUGAUCGACUUGAAGGCAGGAGAGGGAAGCGGAAUUCCCGGUGUAGUGGUGAAAUGCGUAGAUAUCGGGAGGACACCAGUGGCGAAGGCGGCUUCCUG